rnacentral:rRNA from 1 species
AAUUAUUAAAUUAAAACUGUAAAGGGAUAUAAAUUAAAUUAAUUAUUUACCUUUUGCAUAAUGGUUUAAUAACUUGUUUAUAAAUUAUAAAAUCUCGAAAUUAGAAGAUCUAAUUUUGUUUUGUUUAUAGAAUAUAUAAUGUUUCAUAAUUAUUAAUAAAUAAAAUUAGGGGUGAAAGGCUUUCCAAUUCUAAAGAUAUCUAGAAUAAUUUUAAAUGUAUUUAGUACAGAAUAAAUUUGAAUAAGAAAAUGUUAAGAUUUUUUUAUUAAGAAUAUUAAAUAUUUUAAUGGUUUAAUCUCCUUAUUAUAUUUUAUAAUAUAAUUUCAAAUUAAAUAAUCUAAAUAAAAUUAUAUUUUAAUUAAAUAUAAAUUAAUUAUGUUAAAAUUAGUAUAAAAUUUAUGUUUUAAUAAGGAAUUCGGCUAAUUAUUCAACUGUUUAUCAAAAACAUAGUUUUAUGAUAUAAAAUGUAACCUGCCCAUUGAUAAUUUUUAACGGCCGCAGUACCUUGACUGUGCUAAGGUAGCAUAAUAAAUUGACUUUUAAUUGGGGCCUUGAAUGAAAGGAUUAAUAAUUUCUGUCUUAUAAAAUUAAUUUAAAGUUACUUAAAAGGUGAAAAUACCUUUAAGUUAUAUAAUAGACGAGAAGACCCUAGGAGUUUUUAAUUUUGUUGGGGCGACAAUGUAACAUUACUUACAUUAAUAUAAAUUAUAACAAUAAUUUUAAUAAGAAAUAAACUACCCUAGGGAUAACAGCAUAAUUUAUUAAGUUUGUGACCUCGAUGUUGGA